rnacentral:rRNA from 1 species
CUGGUUGAUCCUGCCAGUAGUAUAUGCUUCGUUUAAGGAUUAAGCCAUGCAUGUGAAAGAAGAACCUUUGAAUGGUGAAUCUGCGAAUGGCUCAUUACAAGUGUUAUAAUCUGCGGUGGAAUGGGAUGCUACAAGGAUAUCUGCAGCAAUUCUGGAGCUAAGACUUGCUUGAAAGCGGGGUUGUUAAAACCACGCAGGGCAAAUCUUCUUUAAAGUCGACUUUUCAAGUUGAAUUCAGGAUUUGAGAGGUGCGGAGAACGCGCCAAACACACCGGACCGAAUGCUCUCGUAGCGUCGGCGUCCACCAUGAGUUUCAUCCCCAUCAAAUUGUUUUCAGGGUAUUGACCUGAAAAGUUUUUUACGGGUAACGGAAAAUUAGGGUUUGAUUCCGGAGAAGGGGCUUGAGAAUUGGCCACUACAUCUAAGGAAGGCAGCAGGCGCGCAAAUUCCCCAAUACAGAAAAUGUGAGGGAGCGACGAACAAUAUUAAAAACGGGGAGCAAUCUCUGUUUAUUGAAAUGAGUUCGGUGUAAAAAACCGUCCGAGUAGCCAUUGGAGGGCAAGUCUGGU